UAGUCCACGCCGUAAACGAUGUAUGCUAGUUGUCGGGUAGUUUUCUAUUCGGUGACGCAGCUAACGCACUAAGCAUACCGCCUGGGGAGUACGGCCGCAAGGUUAAAACUCAAAGGAAUUGACGGGACCCGCACAAGCGGUGGAGCAUGUGGUUUAAUUCGAAGCAACGCGAAGAACCUUACCAGCUCUUGACAUCCUGAUCGCGGAAAAUAGAGAUAUUUUCCUUCAGCUCGGCUGGAUCAGUGACAGGUGCUGCAUGGCUGUCGUCAGCUCGUGCCGUGAGAUGUUGGGUUAAGUCCCGCAACGAGCGCAACCCUCAUCCCUAGUUGCCAGCAUUUAGUUGGGCACUCUAGUGAAACUGCCGGUGACAAGCCGGAGGAAGGUGGGGGACGACGUCAAGUCAUCAUGGCCCUUACGGGGCUGGGGCUACACACGUGCUACAAUGGGCAAUGACAAUGGGGCU
rnacentral:rRNA from 1 species